rnacentral:sRNA from 6 species
CGUGAAGGAUAACGUUGCGUCAGCAACGGCCCGAAGGGCGAGCGAAGCGAGUCAUCCUGCACGACCCACCA